GGAAGGGGGAAACCUUGAAUCCAGCAAUGCCGCGGUGGAGUGAUGAGGCCUUCGGGGUUGUAAAACUCUUUUAGUAGGGAAGAAAAGGACGGGACCUACAGAAAAAUCACCUUGGAAACUUCCUGCCAACAACCCCCGGAAUACGAUCGGGCCAGCGGCCGCGGGAAU
rnacentral:rRNA from 1 species